ACCAAACCAAACUACGAAGUUCCCAAACCUGAAAUAGAUUAUGGGUAUAGUCCAACUCCAAAGGUUGAGAAGCCUAAGUCCGAAGAAGUUUACACAUCAAACCCCACAAAACCGGACUAUGAAGUUCCCAAAACCAAAAUAGAUUAUGGCUAUGCACCGGCUCCCAAGAUUGAGAAACCCAAGUCCGAAGCUGUUUACACACCAAACCCCACAAAACCGGACUAUGGAGUUCCCAAACCUAAAACAACCUAUGAAUAUGCCCCUGCCCCCAAGAUUGAGAAACCAAAGUCCGAAGCAAUUUACACACCAAACCCAACAAAACCAAACUAUGAAGUUCCCAAACCCAAAACAAAUUAUGAGUAUGCCCCAGCUCCCAAGAUUGAGAAACCAAAGUCUGAAGUAGUUCACACACCAAACCCCACAAAACCUGACUAUGAAGUUCCCAAAUCCAAAACUGAUUAUGGGUAUGCCCCGACCCCCAAAAUCGAGAAAUCCAAGUCUGAAGCAGUCUACACACCAAACCCCACAAAAUCAGACUAUGAAGUUCCCAAAACCAAAACAGAUUAUGAGUAUGCCCCAGCCCCCAAGAUUGAGAAACCAAAGUCUGAAGUAGUUUACACACGAAACCCCACAAAACCUGACUAUGAAGUUCCCAAAUCCAAAACUGAUUAUGGGUAUGCCCCGACCCCCAAAAUCGAGAAAUCCAAGUCUGAAGCAGUCUACACACCAAACCCCACAAAAUCAGACUAU
rnacentral:lncRNA from 1 species